AUUGAACGCUGGCGGCAGGCCUAACACAUGCAAGUCGAACGGUAACAGGAAGAAGCUUGCUUCUUUGCUGACGAGUGGCGGACGGGUGAGUAAUGUCUGGGAAACUGCCUGAUGGAGGGGGAUAACUACUGGAAACGGUAGCUAAUACCGCAUAACGUCGCAAGACCAAAGAGGGGGACCUUCGGGCCUCUUGCCAUCGGAUGUGCCCAGAUGGGAUUAGCUAGUAGGUGGGGUAACGGCUCACCUAGGCGACGAUCCCUAGCUGGUCUGAGAGGAUGACCCGCCACACUGGAACUGAGACACGGUCCAGACUCCUACGGGAGGCAGCAGUGGGGAAUAUUGCACAAUGGGCGCAAGCCUGAUGCAGCCAUGCCGCGUGUAUGAAGAAGGCCUUCGGGUUGUAAAGUACUUUCAGCGGGGAGGAAGGGAGUAAAGUUAAUACCUUUGCUCAUUGACGUUACCCGCAGAAGAAGCACCGGCUAACUCCGUG
rnacentral:rRNA from 1 species